rnacentral:rRNA from 1 species
AGCGAACGCUGGCGGCAGGCCUAACACAUGCAAGUCGAACGAACUCUUCGGAGUUAGUGGCGGACGGGCGAGUAACACGUGGGAACGUGCCUUUUGGUUCGGAAUAACUCAGGGAAACUUGUGCUAAUACCGAAUGUGCCCUUCGGGGGAAAGAUUUAUCGCCAUUAGAGCGGCCCGCGUCUGAUUAGCUAGUUGGUGAGGUAACGGCUCACCAAGGCGACGAUCGGUAGCUGGUCUGAGAGGAUGACCAGCCACACUGGGACUGAGACACGGCCCAGACUCCUACGGGAGGCAGCAGUGGGGAAUCUUGCGCAAUGGGCGAAAGCCUGACGCAGCCAUGCCGCGUGAAUGAUGAAGGUCUUAGGAUUGUAAAAUUCUUUCACCGGGGACGAUAAUGACGGUACCCGGAGAAGAAGCCCCGGCUAACUUCGUG